GGAUGAAACCUUCCUCCUACUGCACAGCCCGCCCCCCCACAGCCCCGGUCCCCACGCCUAGAAGACAGCGGAACUGAGAAAAGAAAAGGCCUGUGGACAGAACAAUCAUGUCUGACUCCCUGGUGGUGUGCGAGGUAGACCCAGAGCUAACAGAAAAGCUGAGGAAAUUCCGCUUCCGAAAAGAGACAGACAAUGCAGCCAUCAUAAAACAUUUCCCCAGAGGAGCUCAAAAUGGAGUUGCCGGAGAGACAGCCCAGGUAUCCUGGGGGAAGAAAGGGUUGGAUCAGGCCAUGAGGGGAGGGGUGAUGUUGGAGGUAUAGGCUAAGGGACUGCUGGAGUUCCAGCCCUAUUCAUGGACUUUGAAUCUCUGUGUUUGGCCGAGUGAGGUGGCUCAUCCCUGUAAUCCCAGCACUUUGGGAGGUCGAGGAGG
rnacentral:sRNA from 1 species